UUGACAAUCUAAUUAAAAUUCCUUUUUCUUUUUCAGCACCCAGCCGUCGUCGAACUCGACCAUCGUCGCCAGAGCCAGGCGCCCAACGAAUUAGGCCGCGAUCUCUGACUCCUAGAUACAGACGGACCAGAGACGCCCGCAACACCCUCUCGGAUCACUCGGGUCUCAGAUGUGGAUUUCAAGGAUACACGUAUGAAUCAGUGGAGACUCACGAUCAGAACAGCAAUAGCCUCGUUGGUUGGUUAAUUAACAAUUCCAAUCGGUUAACAAUCGCCGCUGCACGUGUUCCCGUAUGCAGGGUAAAGAGACUAGAACCUCUGCAAUAUACGUACAACGAUCGAGACGGAGUCGUACAUGCAUGCGGUCGUUGGCAUUGCGCGCAUGUGAGAAAAAAGACACGAGAAUUUCAAGACUUCAAAAAGCUCGACCGCCAAGCCUCGCUGUAAGAUGUUGGAAGAAAAAAAAUCACACAUACGCACAAGGAAGGCGAAGUCCAGAGGCGUCAAAGUAACUCGAUCCCGAUCCGGGAUACAGGUCAGUCCGGACCGGUGGGCCACUCUCUUCGUCCUUUUGUUCGACCCUCCGAGGACGAGGCUACGCACACGGACGCUUAUACUUGAGAGGUGGAGUUGUGUGGAGGUGGCAGUGCGGAGGAAAUAAAUAAAGAUGAGACGCGCCAAAGGAAGAAGACCUCUCCCGCCGCAUCAUCCUCUCUCCUCCCCCCUCCGUGUUGUGACAGUUGAGUCGAAAGGAAGGCGCUCGCGCGAGAAACUCGAAGGAACAAUAAAAUUAAAAUAAUAACUUUGGACGGACUUCAAAAGCCGCCUGCAGAAGCCACCGAACCCUGUUAUUGGUUCGAUAAAUCAAAC